rnacentral:rRNA from 1 species
GUGCAGGAUUCAAGCGGCAAGGACGUCGACCUCAGCGUCUAUAAGGGGAAGGUUCUUCUCAUUGUUAACGUCGCAUCCCAGUGUGGCCUAACUAACUCCAACUACACCGAGCUGAGCCAGCUGUACCCAAAGUACAAGGACCAAGGCUUUGAGAUCUUGGCUUUCCCAUGCAAUCAGUUUGGUGGGCAGGAGCCUGGCACCAAUGAUGAGAUAGUUCAGUUUGCCUGCACUCGCUUCAAGGCUGAGUACCCCAUUUUUGACAAGGUUGAUGUCAACGGCAACAAUGUUUCUCCCCUAUACAAGUUCCUGAAGUCUAGCAAAGGUGGCCUUUUCGGCGACAGCAUCAAGUGGAACUUCUCCAAGUUCUUGGUUGACAAGGAGGGUCACGUUGUGGACCGCUAUGCCCCGACCACUUCCCCCCUGAGCAUUGAGAAGGAUAUCAAGAAGCUGCUUGGGAGCUCUUAG